CCUACGGGAGGCAGCAGUGGGGAAUAUUGGACAAUGGGCGCAAGCCUGAUCCAGCAAUGCCGCGUGAGUGAUGAAGGCCUUAGGGUUGUAAAGCUCUUUUACCAGGGAUGAUAAUGACAGUACCUGGAGAAUAAGCUCCGGCUAACUCCGUGCCAGCAGCCGCGGUAAUACGGAGGGAGCUAGCGUUGUUCGGAAUUACUGGGCGUAAAGCGUACGUAGGCGGUUAUUCAAGUCAGAGGUGAAAGCCCGGGGCUCAACCCCGGAACUGCCUUUGAAACUAGGUAGCUAGAAUCUUGGAGAGGUCAGUGGAAUUCCGAGUGUAGAGGUGAAAUUCGUAGAUAUUCGGAAGAACACCAGUGGCGAAGGCGACUGACUGGACAAGUAUUGACGCUGAGGUACGAAAGCGUGGGGAGCAAACAGGAUUAGAUACCCUGGUAGUCCACGCCGUAAACGAUGAUAACUAGCUGUCCGGUCACUUGGUGACUGGGUGGCGCAGCUAACGCAUUAAGUUAUCCGCCUGGGGAGUACGGUCGCAAGAUUAAAACUUAAAGGAAUUGACGG
rnacentral:rRNA from 1 species